ACGCUGGCGGCAUGCCUAACACAUGCAAGUCGAACGGUAACAGGUCUUCGGAUGCUGACGAGUGGCGCACGGGUGAGUAACGCGUGGAUAUCUGCCUAUGAGUGGGGGAUAACUUUCGGAAACGAAAGCUAAUACCGCAUAAUCUCUACGGAGCAAAGCAGGGGACCUUUCGGGGCCUUGUGCUUAUAGAUGAGUCCGCGUCAGAUUAGCUAGUUGGUGGGGUAAGAGCCUACCAAGGCGAUGAUCUGUAGCUGGUUUGAGAGGAUGAUCAGUCACACUGGAACUGAGACACGGUCCAGACUCCUACGGGAGGCAGCAGUGGGGAAUUUUGCACAAUGGGCGCAAGCCUGAUGCAGCGAUGCCGCGUGUGGGAAGAAGGCCUUUGGGUUGUAAACCACUUUCAAUUGGGAAGAAGGGAUGAGUAUUAAUAAUACUCUGACUUGACGGUACCUUUAGAAGAAGCACCGGCUAAUUUCGUGCCAGCAGCCGCGGUAAUACGAAAGGUGCAAGCGUUGUUCGGAUUUACUGGGCGUAAAGAGAUCGUAGGUGGUUUGUUAAGUUAGAUGUGAAAUCCCGGGGCUCAACCUCGGAACUGCAUCUAAAACUGGCAGACUUGAGUUCGGGAGGGGUAAGCGGAAUUCCGUGUGUAGCAGUGAAAUGCGUAGAUAUACGGAGGAACACCUGAGGCGAAGGCGGCUUACUGGACCGAUACUGACACUGAGGAUCGAAAGCGUGGGUAGCAAACASGAUUAGAUACCCUGGUAGUCCACGCCCUAAACGAUGUCAACUAGCCGUUGCGGGUAUCGACCCCUGCAGUGGCGCAGCUAACGCGAUAAGUUGACCGCCUGGGGAGUACGGUCGCA
rnacentral:rRNA from 1 species